rnacentral:rRNA from 1 species
GACGAACCGUGCGAACGUUAUUCGGAAUCAUCGUGGCUUAAAGCGCGUGUAGGCGGCCCGGCACGUCCGUCGCUGAAAUCCCCCGGCUCAACCGGGGAAGUGGCGUGGAUACGACCGGGCUGGAGGGGGGUAGGGGGAGCCGGAACUUCCGGUGGAGCGGUGAAAUGCGUUGAGAUCGGAAGGAACGCCCGUGGCGAAAGCGGGCUCCUGGACCCCACCUGACGCUGAGACGCGAAAGCCAGGGGAGCGAACGGG